rnacentral:rRNA from 1 species
UUUGAUGUAAUUUAUAUUUAAUAGUAAGUUUAAGUUGUGUUAUUGUCUUGUAAUAUAAUUAUUUUAUGUUUUAGUAAGUAUUAUUGAAUAUAAUGGUGUGUUAAGUUAUUAGUACGGUUAAGGAAAGGUGAAAUAAUGGUGUGAAGAGUAAAAUUUUAUUGUAGUAGUUUUUAGUUAAUGUACCUUUUGUAUCAGGGUUUUACAAGUUAAUUAAGUAUUUUGUUUUCCCGAAAAGAUCUGAUUUAUAAUGGUGUUAUAUUUUACGUGGUAUAGUGAUGUUUAACAUCAUUAUGGGGGCGAAAAGUGAUUCGUAGAUUUUUAUAUCUGGUUACUUAAGAGAUAAAUUUAAUUUUUUAAUGUAAUAAUAAUUUGACAAAAUAGGAUACGUCUGUUCUUUUGUAAAUAAUUUAAUUGCAUCAGCAAAUGGUUGAGGGAUAAGCUUCAAAAUUUUUUAAGGAUUAUUUGUUUUUUUUAAUUUAGGAUUAGAAGUUUCUAAAAUUUAUAAUAGUGUUUUAGCGUAUAUAAUUAAAUUAAUGAUUUAUUGUAUCUUAAAUGUGUUAUUGAGUCGUGAAUAAUAAAUGAAUUUAUUUUUUGAUAAUGUAAGGAUUAGUAUAUAUGUUAUGUAAAUUUUUUAGUUUAUGUAUUAUUUGAGGAAGGAAUUCGGCAAUAUCUAAUUUUCGCCUGUUUAUCAAAAACAUGGCCUCUUGGCUAUAUUUAUGAGGUUACACCUGCCCACUGAAAGUGUUGAAUGGCCGCAGUAUUGUGACUGUGCAAAGGUAGCAUAAUAAUUUGUCUUUUAAUUGAAGACUGGAAUGAAGGGUUUCACGAAAUAUAGACUGUUUUUUUUAAAUAAAUAUAAUUUAAUUUUUUGGUGAAAAAGCUUUAUGAUUUCAAAUUUUCUUUAAAAGACAAUAAGACCCUAUAGAUUUUAAUAUAACUUUUAAAUUUAAUUUUUAGUAAGUGUAGUGUUGAUUAUUUAAAUAGUUUUAUUUUGUUGGGGCGACAAAAAGAAAUGAUUAUCUCUUUUUAAGAGUAUUACGUUUAUAUAUGAAAUAAUUAAUAUAUAUAUGAUCCAAAUAUUUUUGAUUACAAGAAUAAGUUACCUUAGGGAUAACAGCGUAAUUCUUUUUGAGAGUUCAUAUCGACAAAGGGGAUUGCGACCUCGAUGUUGGAUUAAAAUUCCUUUAUUUUGUGUAGCAGCUGUUUAAAGGAGGUCUGUUCGACCUUUAAAAUUUUACAUGAUCUGAGUUCAGACCGGCGUAAGCCAGGUCGGUUUAUAUCUUUAAAGUUGAAAAUAUCUUUUUAGUACGAAAGGACCAAAAAAUAAAAAUAAUUUUGUUUUGUUGAGUAAAAUU